GACGAACGCUGGCGGCGUGCUUAACACAUGCAAGUCGAACGGAAAGGCCCUGCUUUUGUGGGGUGCUCGAGUGGCGAACGGGUGAGUAACACGUGAGUAACCUGCCCUUGACUUUGGGAUAACUUCAGGAAACUGGGGCUAAUACCGGAUAGGAGCUCCUGCUGCAUGGUGGGGGUUGGAAAGUUUCGGCGGUUGGGGAUGGACUCGCGGCUUAUCAGCUUGUUGGUGGGGUAGUGGCUUACCAAGGCUUUGACGGGUAGCCGGCCUGAGAGGGUGACCGGCCACAAUGGGACUGAGAUAGGGCCCAGACUCCAACGGGAGGCAGCAGGGGGGAAUAUUGCACAAUGGGCGGAAGCCUGAUGCAGCAACGCCGCGUGCGGGAUGACGGCCUUCGGGUUGUAAACCGCUUUCGCCUGUGACGAAGCGUGAGUGACGGUAAUGGGUAAAGAAGCACCGGCUAACUACGUG
rnacentral:rRNA from 1 species